GGAAGUCAUAUUUUGAUUUUUCUUGUAUUUUUUAUUAUAAUUCGAGAAACCAGGAAAAAUGUGUAGAAACAACGGAUACGUCAAUAAAGUUUACGACAAUACAAGUUUCAUUAUUUCCAAUUUCGUUUUUAUACCAGAUCUUGCUCCAAAUUGUAUUUGUAGCUUCAAGUUAGUAAUCAAAUUAUCAAGUUAUUGCAAGGAACAAUCAUUUUACAAUGUAUUU